GCAGCGAAAUGCGAUACGUAAUGUGAAUUGCAGAAUUCAGUGAAUCAUCGAAUCUUUGAACGCACAUUGCACUCUCUGGUAUUCCGGAGAGUAUGCUUGUUUGAGUAUCAGUAAACACCUCAAGUCUCUUCUCUAGAGAAGAGAAUUGGACUUGAGCA
rnacentral:rRNA from 1 species